rnacentral:rRNA from 1 species
CAGCAGCCGCGGUAAUACCGGCGGCCCGAGUGGCGGUCACUAUUAUUGGGCUUAAAACGUCCGUAGCCGGGUUGGGAAGGCCUCCGGGAAAUCUGGCCGCUUAACGGUCAGAAUGCCGGAGGGUACUCCCAGCCUAGGGAGCGGGAGAGGCCGAGGGGAUUCCCGGGGUAGGGGUGAAAUCCUAUAAUCCCGGGAGGACCACCUGUGGCGAAGGCGCUCGGCUGGAACGCGGCCGACGGUGAGGGACGAAGGCCAGGGGAGCAAACCGGAUUAGAUACCCGGGUAGUCCUGGCUGUAAACGAUGCGGACUUUGUGUCGGACAAGCUAUGAGCUUGUCCGGUGCCGGAGGGAAACCGUUAAGUCCGCCGCCUGGGGAGUACGGCCGCAAGGCUGAAACUUAAAGGAAUUGGCGGG